AGUGAACGCUGGCGGUAGGCCUAACACAUGCAAGUCGAACGGCAGCACAGUAAGAGCUUGCUCUUACGGGUGGCGAGUGGCGGACGGGUGAGGAAUACAUCGGAAUCUACUUUUUCGUGGGGGAUAACGUAGGGAAACUUACGCUAAUACCGCAUACGACCUACGGGUGAAAGCAGGGGAUCUUCGGACCUUGCGCGAUUGAAUGAGCUGAUGUCGGAUUAGCUAGUUGGCGGGGUAAAGGCCCACCAAGGCGACGAUCCGUAGCUGGUCUGAGAGGAUGAUCAGCCACACUGGAACUGAGACACGGUCCAGACUCCUACGGGAGGCAGCAGUGGGGAAUAUUGGACAAUGGGCGCAAGCCUGAUCCAGCCAUACCGCGUGGGUGAAGAAGGCCUGCGGGUUGUAAAGCCCUUUUGUUGGGAAAGAAAAGCAGCAGGUUAAUACCCCGCUGUUCUGACGGUACCCAAAGAAUAAGCACCGGCUAACUUCGUG
rnacentral:rRNA from 1 species